GUGUGGGUGGACGAGUGCAGAGAGGCCUCCCGGGCCGGUCGGGGGGGCUGGCUGGGAUGGUGGUGUCGGGUGAGGCCGGAGCGUGAGCCGCGUUUGGGUGCUGCCCGGUUCGGUCACGCUUCCUGGGUAACAUUCAGCUUCACCGUUGGAGGAGAAUGUGGGGAGAUCAGCAGGGCUGAAAAGAGAGACGACUAUAAGGAAAAUUGAACCAACAAUCAGAGCUGGAGGAGUUCAAAGUUCGCCUUCCUGGAUGUACCUGUGUAACAUGCAGCCUUGUCUCCAACCCUUUCUCCUGCAUGGACCUUGUCUCUGACUCUGUCUUCUGCUUUUCCUGGCUGGACUUCCUGGCUGGUCCCUGGAUCUGACUCAUUAUCU